GAUGAACGCUGGCGGCGUGCUUAACACAUGCCAGUCGAACGGAAAGGCCCAAGCUUGCUUGGGUACUCGAGUGGCGAACGGGUGAGUAACGCGUGGGUGAUCUGCCCUGCACUUCGGGAUAAGCCUGGGAAACUGGGUCUAAUACCGGAUAGGACGAUGGUUUGGAUGCCAUUGUGGAAAGUUUUUUCGGUGUGGGAUGAGCUCGCGGCCUAUCAGCUUGUUGGUGGGGUAAUGGCCUACCAAGGCGUCGACGGGUAGCCGGCCUGAGAGGGUGUACGGCCACAUUGGGACUGAGAUACGGCCCAGACUCCUACGGGAGGCAGCAGUGGGGAAUAUUGCACAAUGGGCGCAAGCCUGAUGCAGCGACGCCGCGUGGGGGAUGACGGCCUUCGGGUUGUAAACUCCUUUCGCUAGGGACGAAGCGUUUUUGUGACGGUACCUGGAGAAGAAGCACCGGCUAACUACGUG
rnacentral:rRNA from 1 species